GUACGGUAUUUUUUUGUUUUGUAUUUUAAAAGUAUAAUCUUAUACUUUGUAUUUAAACUAAUAGAUAUAAAAGAUAAAAGUCCAAGGAACCAAUAAUUGAAAAAUGUCGAAAGUAAUAUUUGCAUUCAUUGCAUUACUCGUCAUGAUUGUCAUGAUAGAGACUGCAGAGGCUUGCACUGGAUUAAUGGGCUCAUGUAACAAUCAUGACGAAUGCUGUUCAAUGUGGUGUGCCCAUUCAGAUUUUCUCAGCCUUCGAUACUACAGUGUCAAGACAAAGUAAAAUAAUAACUCGAGUCAGAAUAUUGAGACUACACGAGCCUACAUGACGAUUUGUUAUUGUUUUUAUCGAUUAAUAAAUGAAAAUAAUAAAUUGAGCAUGCAUUUCGAUUCUUUGUUGUUUUACAAUAUAAAUAAUUUUCUCCGUACACGGAAAGAUUGGAACCCGACUGGUUAUUGUUCGGCACCCGACUCAGUACAAUGCUGGAAAAAAAUGCUCGAUUGUGGUGCAGCACCACACUGAUUACUGUGCGGGACCUGACUAAUAUGCGCACACGACUCAGUCAGGUCCUGCAUGGGAUUUUAGUGUCAUUAAUUCAUUAUUUUUUGAAGUAGACAACAUUUAAUUUUUUUUUUGUCAAAAACUUACUUUAGUGAAAUAAUAUUAUUUUUCCAGCUUAUCAUGUCACUAUCUUUCAUUGUUUUAUUGAUAAAUCAUCAUUAUCAUUCAUUAAUUAUUAUUCAUGAUCAAAUUAUAUGAAUAAAAAAAAAAUUUAAUGUGAGUGAAUAGUCAAAAAAUUUAGAGCGAUCAUAAAAGCACCCUCAGCGCUUUCGCUCUUGAGGUGUGCAAUAUAAUAAAUUAGUAGCUAUUGAGCUAUCAUCUUACAUUUUGCAAGACGUCUAAGUAUUUAAAUGCAUAUACUUUGUUUUUUAAAUAUAAGGAAAACUGUUAUGCGUAAUAAAUAUUAUAUAAUAAUCGCAAUCAUCAUCAAAUGAAUCCGUAUCAUUUGAACUUUGAGAUUUUAUAAGUCAAGUUCAGAAUUUAUUAUUGUGAUAUUUAUCUUCAUGACCAUGAAAAUUCAGUAUAAAUGCAGGAAUUCACCCGUUUCUGAAAGCAGUGAGUCAAAAAUCGUUGAACAUACACAACCAACAGUAGUACUGCAAUAUCCGAUACAAAAAUCCAAGGAACCCAUAAUUACAAAAUGUCGAAAGUAAUAUUCGCAUUCAUUGCAUUACUCGUAAUUAUUGUCAUGAUGGAGAAGACUGCCGAGGCUUGCGCCCCAAUAUUGGGCACGUGUGACAAUCAUGAGGAUUGUUGUUCAGAGUGGUGUGCACAUUCAGAUUUUUUCAGCGUUCAUUACUGCAGUUUCAAGACAAAGUAAAAUUUUGAUUCAAAUUAAAUGCCGGGAUUAAUUACACUAAUUUCAUUCAUUUAAUUAGUAAUUGUAUUAGAACAAAUUGUAUCCUUGUUAACUUGCAAUAAAUCAAUUACUAUAAAACUUA